rnacentral:sRNA from 1 species
CUUUAUAAAUCAAUUUUAGGAGCAAGGAGGCAGGAGAAGCUCAGGUCAGUGUACAUGGCCCAGAGCAUUGCUUCUGCCACUUCCAAGGCAACAGCCUAGGCUGGGGACCCCUCAAUACCCAGCCCUGUGGGCCUUGUGGCACGGGCACUCUGUGCCGUGUAGGGCAUUUGAACAUCAGGAUUCUGGCUUAGGCCACCUGCCCACCCCUCAAACCAUGUUUCCUCCCCAGCGGCUUUUUUCCAGGACUGCAUUUCAGAGCAGGACCUUGACGAGAUGAACAUCGAGAUCAUCCGCAACACCCUCUACAAGGCCUACCUGGAGUCCUUCUACAAGUUCUGCACCCUACUGGGCGGGACUACGGCUGAUGCCAUGUGCCCCAUCCUGGAGUUUGAAGCAGACCGCCGCGCCUUCAUCAUCACCAUCAAUUCUUUCGGCACAGAGCUGUCCAAAGAGGACCGUGCCAAGCUCUUUCCACACUGUGGGCGGCUCUACCCUGAGGGCCUGGCGCAGCUGGCUCGGGCUGACGACUAUGAACAGGUCAAGAACGUGGCCGAUUACUACCCGGAGUACAAGCUGCUCUUCGAGGGUGC